UUCUCGCCACAUUACCGCCCUCCCCCCAACAAUCUCUUUCACUGGGGGUUCGGUCUUGGCAGGACCAAGGUCUCACCUUUCCACUGGUGCUCUUACUACGCCAUUCAUUACUACCUAUGCAGUUGGAGCCCAGGAGAUGUAGGUCAAGAGGAGAAGAACAAACUGACCAAGGAAGUAAAUGUGAAACUCAAAUGUGAAGGUAACGUACUGGCAGUGCACAACACUGAAACUGAGACUUGGUGAAAAUUAUAGUAUUGCAUCUUUCUCCAUACCUUACUACUACAGCAAGCCUCAUCAUGAUUGUACCUGGAUUAAAACUGAAUGGGCUGUAAGAUGCUCUCUGCAAGCACAAUGACGUGGAAUCCUACAGUUAAGAGGCAUGGUUUCUAAGAUUGAAAUGAACAUAGAAACCCAUAACUGUUCAAGGUUCAGAGAAUAAGGGACUGCUUGAUGUUUGGCCAUAAACAGGACAUCUGUAUCACAGACAUGUCCCCCUCACUCAAGGCACAGGGAUCAUGCAGAAGGGAUCAGGAAGACGGUCAUUACAGCAAAGGGUAACACUCAUGAAUGAAAACUAAAAACAUUUCAAGAGAUGGAGGCUCCUAGGAUAUCAUCAGUGACUUCCACUACAGGAUGAACUCACUGUACAUUGUCAGUGAAUUGUUAAAAUGUUUCAACUGAAAAGAAACUGGAUAAACUCAAAGGGGAAAAGAAACUACAGUGAGCAUCGGGAAAGGCCACUUUCAAAGACAGCACAACAGAACGGUCCUGAAAAUAUGUCCUUUAUACUGAAUGUCAACACUUUUAAGUGGAUGGUGAAUAGUUGGGUAUAUCUCUGAAGGAAAAAAAUUACAGACAGCAGGAGGGAAAGUGAGACAGCCCAAGAGGGAAUGGAUUAUAACCACAGAAACAGUAGGGACUCAAUUAUAUGAAAAUAGACAGAGGCUGUUAGUGUCUUAGUUUAUCUAUAAACUGCAUAGUGGAGAAAUAUAUUGCUUACAAUUCUGCAGACUAGGAAAUAAAAACACAAGGCGGGGUUGGGGAUUUAGCUCAGUGGUAGAGCGCUUGCCUAGGAAGCGCAAGGCCCUGGGUUCGGUCCCCAGCUCCGAAAAAAAGAACCAAGAAAAAAAAAAACACAUGGCACUGGCAGUUGUGGUUUCUGGUGAUGCCCAUUUUCUGGUGUCUUGUUGAAUUCUCAGGUGGCAGAUGGAAUGGUGGAAUCUCCUGGGUCCCUUUAAACAAGGUCACUAAUCCUAUCUAACUGGCCUCUGACCAUGUCGUAUAGUCAACUUCCAAGUUUCUAUCUCCUGGUAUUAGCACACUGGUUCUAACUUACAACACAUCAGAAUAUGCACCUCUACACAUUCUAGAAUCAUAUACAGAAGUAUUCAUAGAUACCUGUAAGCAAUGAAUAACUGAAUGUGUACAUCUAAUGCAUAUAAUCCCUAUUCUUCAACUUGUGUGGGUCUGGAGAAAUAACUCUGAUACAUUGAACAUCCCUGGGGUCUGCCUGCGGUUUUACAUUGCCCUUCAACAAAAAAGUACCGUGGCACAUUACAG